rnacentral:piRNA from 1 species
GGUAAGUCCUCUCUAUAGGCUGGUUGUC